GGAACACGAUCAACUUACUGUCCAUUUUUUCAUGAUGACGAGAACGUCUAAAAAAUGUUACAAGUGUACUUUCAUGCAAAUGAAAGAAGCUUGCAAGUGACUUAAUUUUGCAUAAACUUAAGAAUCGAAAUUAUCACUUUUUUUAAGUACAUAGGAUGCAAGUUUGAUUGCCAAUAUUUUAAACAACUUAGUCAUGAGGAUAAAAGUUAUUAAGAAUCAAUUGUCACAAUUAGUUGAUUUAACAAGUGCUCUUUUUAUUCUCUGCACGCUUCAGUUUAAGCAAAAAAAAAAAAAAAUAACAAGCCACACAAGCGGUAACAAUGCUGCGACGUUUUAAUCAGAGAUACCUUGUACGGUUAUAGGGCACAAGGUUGAUCGAAAAGACCCCGACAAUAUCCAAAGGGAUAUUCAUCGCUACGAAACGAAUAAAUCAGCUUUUGUAAUGACGAACCGACCGAGAAACGUUGUUGUUCCAGUCUCUUGCCAGCGACCACAUUCCGCAAUAUUUCGUUCCUGGCCAAUGGCAAUGCAACGAGAACUGCAGAUGACACUGCCAUAACAAAGUUUCAAGACGAUGUUUCUCCCUCGAGAAGAAUUCGAUACCUCAUUCGCGCUAACCACAGGUCCCUGAAUUAUUAUUAAAUCAAUCCUUAAUUCCAUCUUUCGGUAAAUCGUGCACACGUAUGUACACAUGUAUGCAAAAUAAAAUUGUUAAAUUAAAUCGAAGCAAUAAUUUACAACGCCGCUUCAAGUUGCCUCGAUUUAAAAUUUAAUUAAAAUUUAUUAUCACGCCGGAAGGCUGUUCAGGAGAAGAGUUAGAAUUGCCUCGGCGUUUUAGACAUAAUUCCGUUGCAACGGGAUAUGAAACAGUAUCGAACAGCUGGUCAAGGAUAACCGAACGAAGCGAAGAUCGGUAGAGAGGUGGUGAUAUCUAUUAAGUUAGAAGGAGACUCGGGUCGCCCUCUUUUGAUUUUACGAUCGUUUCACGACAUUGAUGGCCCGCUGAACGUUUUUACGAGGCAACUAUUCCGGCAGAAUCGUAAAUCAGGAGUGUACAGUCUGUCUCGUUUCAGAAUCGAGAUAGCCGACACGAUGAUUUUUGUACAACUAAACGAACGAAAUAAGAUUAGUGAAACAGUGGGAAACAUUCUUCUAAAACCUCAACCACACGCAUGACCGGAAUUUUGAAGCGUUCUGUACUGCUUUCUCUGACGAGUGCUAAAAAGAGAAACCUGGGAAAUGCAUACGAGGUCACUGGCAUAAAAUCUGUGGUUAACUUAAAAACCAAAUAUUUAUGAACAUUUUGUCGGUCAUUGAUAUCGAUUGUUCAGGCGCACGGAAGAGCUGCAAGACACCCUCAAUUCAUGCAAUUAUUCGUAAUAAUAACUGUGGUGUUGUUCACCGGAUGUAGAACAGAGUACAGGAAGAGGACGAGUUCUGAGAAUAAUUGUUUCACCGCAAAAUCGACCGUGACUCACGACGACAUUAAGUCACGCAUCCUACGUAAAUCCUGCGAUUCAUUAUACAACUGACACGGUGAUAUCAUCAAUUUUCCCUUAGAAAAAAAAAAAAACACCGUUGCAAAGUCAGUCAUAAAUCAAUAUUUGAUUUUGUAAUCUUGCAUCACUGCCAAAAAUAAAUGUCGCAGAUAUUCACACCAGAUUAGUAACAGGAAAAUAAGGAAUAUUAAAUAUAUGUAAGUCAUCAUACAAAUUACAAAUCAUUAAUAUUAUUCUGGAGUUAUAUAUGAAAUAAUUUUAUAUAUAAAAUUGUAAAAGGGAAGAUCUCAUAAGCUGUAAUUUGUCAUUUCGUUGAUACCAGU